rnacentral:lncRNA from 1 species
AUACGGGCUUUCAAAAGAAUGUGAUGUCCUUUUGGUGUUUUAGAUUCUCACCUAUGAGGUAUAAACAAAUCGCCUUGCAGACAAGUCUCAACACAGAACACAUGCUGCUUAUCACUGGCAAAGACUUGCAUCAGCCUGCCACCACGGCUGGCUCAUCUUGUCCCUCCAGGCCUGUGCCUGCUGGAACACUCCCACUCCCCAUGUCUGAAUACACCACUUCGGUUGGACCAAGAGUUUCCAGCUCGGGUGGCCCCUCCUUCCCUGGAAAUAAAUAGCUGCCUAUAGAAUAUCAGAGUCAUUCUGACUCAGGGGUGACUCAGCUCUUCCAUGACCUGUGUUCCCACUUCUCCUUGAUAAGGCCAAUGUUUUGGCCCUACUGGUGAAAAUAUGUAGACCUAACAUCUAUCUCCCUGCUCCAGUUUCAAGAGAAAAGACCUUAUUCAGAGAAAUAUUUAGAAGACUCUUGUGGAAUUCUUGCUGUGAGUGGUUUUUCCUUCCCUGCCAUUGGUGCGACUGUUUCCCCCUUCCGUCAAAUUGCUGUCUAGAUGUUUCUCUCUGACCCCAAUUUUCUCGGAGUUUGGGAUUAUCAAUCUAAAAUCAGAGGCAGGGAGGAACUUGGAUUGUCCUUCAGUAAAAUUCCACUUUGAUGCGCAAAGCGAACUUGAAUUUCUGCUUGGCCUACCACAGGCCUGCAACAUGCACUUUCUCCUCGAGGGAACUGCCACUCACUGACACGGACAACAGUAAAGGAACUUGGUCUUCACUAUGCCUCAUAGUGGUGGGUCACACUGCCCAGGAGGAACCCGCAAUGAGACCGGCAAAUGCCUUAACCAUCUCAUUGUCUCAUCAGGAAGAAGCUUAAAUGACUCUUCUUGCUCACAUACUUCCUGGGCAAACAUGUCUGCUCUGUUGGGAUAAAGGACGCUCUAGACCAGGCUCUGCUGAAAGAUCCAGGGCAAAGGUUCCUGACAAGACUAUGUCCAGCCUCAAAUAAGGCCACAGAAGAGCCCAGGCUCGCUGACGAGCACCGGCUCCGAGGCAGUCACAUCAGGAGACAGAAACAGACAUGUUGGUGCUGCCCUCUCAGGUCAGUGCAAAUGCCACUUGAGGAGGGCUGAGAGCUUUGCAGCAUAAAAUGACCAGAACAAGGAGAAACACAGAUGCAAUGGCAAUAGCUGGCAAUUCGCACAUGGCGUCAAACACCACUGCCACAGAAGCUUUUUAGCUACAAGCCACGCUAUGCAACCUUUAAGCAAAACAUUAUUGAUUUUGUGGUUGUAAAAACAUACCUUCAACUGCAGAACUCAGUUUUAUGACACCUUGAAUAAAAACAAAAAGUGGCAGUUAUAUAAUGGACCCAAAUCGCCUUUUCCAGGCUUCUCAUAACACACGCAUGCUUCAGAUUUGGAUUUUUCUUUUUCUGCUGGCAUUGCAAGAACGUAACUAAACAAAUAUCAACUUCAAAAAUAAAAUAAUUUUUAGUCUUAA